GUGUUCGUGCUGCCAUCUACUGCUCGCACACCUGCCAGCGGCUUCCUCAACCCACAAACUUUGCCCUGUUUUCAUCGCUCGGGAGUAAAGUCCGUGGCAAACAAUGGGAGAUGCAGAUAAACAGGAGCAGCCUGGCUGAUGUCGCCAGCAGCACACGGAGCUCGCCUUACCGUUCUUUGUGAGCUCCUUUUUCUUCACUGGAGCUGUGCUCCGUGCUCCGUCCUCUUCGCAGAAUCCAGCUCUAGAGAGUCAUUUUCUGUUGGAUCAGUGAACUAUCAGAAGCACUACAUGAUGCAAAACCACUAACAGAUGCAGUGAGAGAGAUAGUUUUCCCUCAUUAAGGCUUGUCCAGUACAUUGGAUAUGAAAAUAAAAGACACAUACUUGAAGAAAGGAUGGCAGAUUGGUCAUGUGUGGUAAACUACUUGUAAGAGAGAAAUUUUUAUACGGAUAUUUUCACCGCAGAAACUGACUGGGAAAACUCUCCAGAAUAUAAAGCACUUUGGGAAAACAUGGUUUAAAGAAUGAAGUAUGUCACCUGCUAAAGUUGUUAAAGAAAGUGAACAGGAAAAAGAACACAGUGACACCAACAGGAGUCCUGGAGGAGACGAUGCCAAAGCUGCCGAGUGGCCAGCACGUUCCAUUAAGUGUGAGGAAGCAGAGGACAGCUCGCUGCUCCCAGCUGCAACCAGAAACAACGGAGAGCAGUGGCACCUGGGAGCCUGGUGUGGAAGAGGCUGGGCGUGGGCCACCAGGACCAUCUUAUAGAUGGGAGACUGGAGGGCACCUCCACAGCUGCAGGUGUCGGUGCUAAAAACGGAUUAUAGAGACUGGUCCGUUUUGCCCUUGUUAGCAUGCUUGUAGCAAUGGGUCUGAAGUCCCAUGUUAGGUGGCAUGGAGCUCCUCCCAGCAAGAUGUGGAGGAAGGCAGGCCAGCUACAUAAAGGUGAAGAGACGCUGAAAGGGGGAUACUGAACACUCUGGCCUGUAACCAUGGCAAGCAGAUUGCUGCUUUUAAGAGCAGCUGAAGAAAUGAAAUUGCAUUUGAGUGGUGAGAGAAUAAAGGAAGGAUGAGUUGGUGUUAAUAGAGAAGACACUAGUUUUUGGCGUGAGCAAAGAACCUGUUAUAAUAUGUUAAUCUGAGUUAAUGUCUCUUCUCUGUAACAUAACUGUAAACCCAAUAAAAGA